rnacentral:rRNA from 1 species
UCCCGGUUGAUCCUGCCGGAGGCCAUGCUAUGGGGGUCCGACUAAGCCAUGCGAGUCAUGGGGUCCCUUCGGGGACACCGGCGGACGGCUCAGUAACACGUCGGUAACCUACCCUCGGGAGGGGGAUAACCCCGGGAAACUGGGGCUAAUCCCCCAUAGGCCUGGGGUACUGGAAGGUCCCCAGGCCGAAAGGGGCUUUUGCCCGCCCGAGGAUGGGCCGGCGGCCGAUUAGGUAGUUGGUGGGGUAACGGCCCACCAAGCCGAAGAUCGGUACGGGCCAUGAGAGUGGGAGCCCGGAGAUGGACACUGAGACACGGGUCCAGGCCCUACGGGGCGCAGCAGGCGCGAAACCUCCGCAAUGCGGGAAACCGCGACGGGGGGACCCCCAGUGCCGUGGCACAGCCACGGCUUUUCCGGAGUGUAAAAAGCUCCGGGAAUAAGGGCUGGGCAAGGCCGGUGGCAGCCGCCGCGGUAAUACCGGCGGCCCAAGUGGUGGCCGCUAUUAUUGGGCCUAAAGCGUCCGUAGCCGGGCCCGUAAGUCCCUGGCGAAAUCCCACGGCUCAACCGUGGGGCUUGCUGGGGAUACUGCGGGCCUUGGGACCGGGAGAGGCCGGGGGUACCCCUGGGGUAGGGGUGAAAUCCUAUAAUCCCAGGGGGACCGCCAGUGGCGAAGGCGCCCGGCUGGAACGG